AUUGAACGCUGGCGGCAUGCCUUACACAUGCAAGUCGAACGGUAACGGGCCUUCGGGUGCCGACGAGUGGCGAACGGGUGAGUAAUAUAUCGGAACGUACCUUUCAGUGGGGGAUAACGUAGCGAAAGUUACGCUAAUACCGCAUACGAUCUAAGGAUGAAAGCGGGGGAUCGCAAGACCUCGCGCGAAUGGAGCGGCCGAUGUUUGAUUAGCUAGUUGGUGAGGUAAAGGCUCACCAAGGCGACGAUCAGUAGCUGGUCUGAGAGGACGACCAGCCACACUGGGACUGAGACACGGCCCAGACUCCUACGGGAGGCAGCAGUGGGGAAUUUUGGACAAUGGGCGCAAGCCUGAUCCAGCAAUGCCGCGUGAGUGAAGAAGGCCUUCGGGUUGUAAAGCUCUUUUGUCAGGGAGGAAACGGCUGAGGUUAAUACCUUCGGCUAAUGACGGUACCUGAAGAAUAAGCACCGGCUAACUACGUGCCAGCCGCCGCAGUAACAC
rnacentral:rRNA from 1 species